rnacentral:lncRNA from 1 species
GCCACCCUCACUGCCUGUCACCACCGCCACAAAACACCACCACCGUCAGAACCCUAAUUGCUGCUUCGGUGAAGGAACGGUUGGGAUCGACAAUUGCGAUAGUGGCCACGUUCACCCUUUUCUCCGAUAACCUACGACUACCACCACUCUACCCCCACACUUUCCCGCCUGAAAGUGACCAGUAGCCUUUGGCAGCGUCCCCAUCACCAUCAUCAACCACAUAUGUUAAAUUUGAAAAGAGAAUAUUACACCUACUAGUGCAAACAACGUAUCCUUAAAUUCCUUACUAGCAAAAAAAAAAAAAAAAAAAAAAAAACCACCUUUGGGAAAUCAAGAAUCCCCUUUUCAGGGGUUAAAUUGAUUAGUGAAAGAAGAAGAAUGAAAUUGAUUGCAGAUCUAUAUUUUUCAGAGAUUCAGAUGUGGACUUGAAAAUAGAUAUACAGAGACGGUGGCGCGUGAGGUAUUGCCGUGGAGGGAGGUGUGUUUAUUACAGUAAACAUAUAUGUGUAUGAAUAUAUUGUGUGUGUAUGUAUUGAGUUGGAUUCAUGGCGGAUUGGAUGAAUUAAAGGAACUGAAGUGGAGGAUUGAUUAGAGUUAGGGUUUGAGAAAGGGGGGAAAGUGAGAUGGUGGUGCUGUAGAGAGGAGAGGGUGGUGCCUAUCUUUUUAAAUAUUUAAAAAUAAUAAUUUUGUACACGUCAUCAUGCCACAUCAGAUAAAAAUGCCAUAUCAGCAAAAACACUAACAGAGUUAGGGGCUAGUUAACGACGGGGUGACACAGCACACAAAGUGUUAAGUUGGGAGUGAUGGGAGCCAAAGUCAAAGUUGAGAGUGCCAGCGGCCAAACGCGAAUAGUUGGGGGUGAUCAGAUCCAUUAACCCUUUUUUUUUGUCUAAUCUUUACUCUUUAGCCUGUAAACACCUUUGUUCUAGGCUUAUGCAUACUUUUGUCAUGAAUAUUGUAAUGUUAACUAGGCUAUUGGCCAUAUAUGUUUAUAUUAACGUGUU